GGGCCUCUAGCUCAGUUGGUAGAGCAGCGGACUUUUAAUCCGUAGGUCGUGGGUUCGAGCCCCACGGGGCCCA
rnacentral:tRNA from 1 species